rnacentral:rRNA from 1 species
GAUGAACGCUGGCGGCGUGCCUAAUACAUGCAAGUAGAACGCUGAAGGAGGAGCUUGCUCUUCUGGAUGAGUUGCGAACGGGUGAGUAACGCGUAGGUAACCUGCCUGGUAGCGGGGGAUAACUAUUGGAAACGAUAGCUAAUACCGCAUGACAACAGUUAUUGCAUGAUAACUGUUUAAAAGGGGCAACUGCUCCACUACCAGAUGGACCUGCGGUGUAUUAGCUAGUUGGUGAGGUAACGGCUCACCAAGGCGACGAUACAUAGCCGACCUGAGAGGGUGAUCGGCCACACUGGGAGUGAGACACGGCCCAGACUCAUACGGGAGGCAGCAGUAGGGAAUCUUCGGCAAUGGACGGAAGUCUGACCGAGAAACGCCGCGUGAGUGAAGAAGGUUUUCGGAUCGUAAAGCUCGGUUGUAAGAGAAGAACGAGUGUGAGAGUGGAAAGUUCACACUGUGACGGUAACUGACCAGAAAGGGACGGCUAACUACGUG